rfam:Lysinibacillus odysseyi 34hs-1 = NBRC 100172 contig6, whole genome shotgun sequence.
UGGACAGUAUCCUUUGUGAACUGUACCUGCUAUACCCAAUUUUAUGAAGAGUCUGCCUUGAUCUACUUUAGACAGGGACGGAAGA